rnacentral:piRNA from 1 species
AACUAAGGAAAAGUUCUGCAACAGCCAUGU